AAUGCAAAGUGAGCUGUGUUCCUCCUCUACUUCUGUGACUGCAGAGAGGAUGACAGAGAACAGUGGACACACAGUUGAACAUGAUGGACUAUAGGACAGGACUGCUGCUUUUAACUGUCUGCUGGGCAGGUGUUGAUGCUCAGACUCUGACAGAGUCUGAACCAGUGGUUCAAAGUCCUGGACAAUCCCACAGACUGACCUGUACAGCCUCUGGGUUCACAUUUAGCAGCAUCCAUAUGGCAUGGAUCAGACAGGCUCCUGGACAAGGACUGGAGUGGAUUGCCUGGGUCGAGAAUGAUAAUGACAACAAAUACUACUCUAACUCAGUCAGAGGUCGGUUCACAGCCUCCAGAGACAACAGCAGACAGCAGCUGUAUCUGCAGAUGAACAGUCUGAAGGCUGAAGACUCUGCUGUGUAUUACUGUGCCAGAGAGACACAGUGA